GACGAACGCUGGCGGCGUGCUUUACACAUGCAAGUCGAACGGAAAGGCCCUGCUUUUGUGGGGUGCUCGAGUGGCGAACGGGUGAGUAACACGUGAGUAACCUGCCCUUGACUUUGGGAUAACUUCAGGAAACUGGGGCUAAUACCGGAUAGGAGCUCCUGCUGCAUGGUGGGGGUUGGAAAGUUUCGGCGGUUGGGGAUGGACUCGCGGCUUAUCAGCUUGUUGGUGGGGUAGUGGCUUACCAAGGCUUUGACGGGUAGCCGGCCUGAGAGGGUGACCGGCCACAUGGGGACGGAGAUACGGCCCAGACUCCUACGGGAGGCAGCAGUGGGGAAUAUUGCACAAUGGGCGGAAGCCUGAUGCAGCAACGCCGCGUGCGGGAUGACGGCCUUCGGGUUGUAAACCGCUUUCGCCUGUGACGAAGCGUGAGUGACGGUAAUGGGUAAAGAAGCACCGGCUAACUACGU
rnacentral:rRNA from 1 species